GCCCUUGGCUCAGCUGGGAGAGCGUUAGACUGAAGAUCUAAGGGUCGCCGGCUCGAUCCCGGCUCGUGGCA